UACGUAGGGGGCAAGCGUUGUCCGGAUUUAUUGGGCGUAAAGAGCGUGUAGGCGGUUUGGUAGGUCCGCUGUGAAAACUCGAGGCUCAACCUCGAGACGCCGGUGGAAACCAUCAGGCUAGAGUCCGGAAGAGGAGAGUGGAAUUCCUGGUGUAGCGGUGAAAUGCGCAGAUAUCAGGAAGAACACCCGUGGCUAAGGCGGCUCUCUGGGCCGUAACUGACGCUGAGGAGCGAAAGCAUGGGGAGCGAACAGG
rnacentral:rRNA from 1 species